UUUACUUAUAAAUAGACUAGCUAGAUUUUAGGUACCUAUUACCUUACCUACUUAGUAUAUUACUAUUUAUUAGACUAUUAAUAUUAUUACCUACCUACCUGACGACCUACUUGACGUAAGUUGGUUUGGUUAAUGCGUGAUGAUGAUUGCACUGCUCUGUACUAAUUAUUAAAGUAAACUAAGCAUGCCUAUGUGCCUAUUCGGUGCUUUUAAUCUAUAAACUAACUACCUAUUUAAAUUGGGGUGUGCCGUUUUUGUACAUUCGCUAUCACCUGGCAUAGCACCUGGUAUAUGAAUAAAAUAAAGAUAUUUGAACAAAAAACUGUUACGUGAUCAACUGUAGUAUUUCGGCUUGGUUGUGAAUUAUCUACCUAGGUAUAUAAGUUAACUUUUGCAAAAACACCCUUGAUUUUGUUGUUAUUUGUGCGCUUGAGUUUGAUACACAUUUUAUUAUUAACGCAUUGGUACUAACCUUCUAUUUAAUACCUAAAUAACGAUAAAAUAUCUAGGUUUGUGUCUAAUUUUUAGGGUGAUUUGGUAAUGGGUCCUUUUUAUUGCUUAACGUCUAUUAUGUACCUACCUACAAACAAUGUAUUUAAACCAUUAUGUUCCAAUUAACAGAUUCCACUAAUACUGCAUCCCAAUCCAGUACAACCCAGUGGAAGAAUGACCAGAAAUGCAAAAAUAUUUCAAGAAACUAUGGGAUAUCUUCUCGUCGUAGUCAACAUGAGACACAUUCUCUUGAAGGUUCUACCGAAAAGCAAAGAGGGGGUGAUCGGAAAGGAGCAAAAUGUUCAAGAAAACACUUAAUGACUAACUGUAAUAACUGAAAAUGAAGGUUUUUCUAAUAAAGGCAAGUGCCAUACCGUAUUAAUAUAUUUUGUGAUUAUGCAUGUAUUAAUUAAUAAACGUUUUAAAAUUAAAA